AUAUUUCUUUAAAGGUUUCACGAAGUCUUCAAAGUACUUGCUGAAAGUGAUGAGGGGAAACUCCAUGUCCUGAGAGUUGUAUAUGAGGUUUGGAAGAAUCAUCCGCAAAUGAUUGCUGUUCUUGUGGAUAAGAUGAUUCGAACACAGAUUGUUGAUUGCGCUGCAGUAGCAAACUGGAUCUUCUCUUCAGAACUUGCACAUGAUUUUACUAGGUUCUACAUCUGGGAAAUCUUACAUUCCACUAUUCGUAAAAUGAACAAGCAUGUACUGAAGAUUCACAAAGAACUGGAUGAAACUAAGGCAAGAUUGGCAAGACAGCACAAAAGGGUAAUUUGGAUUUUGGGGUUUUUUUUAUACAUAUAUUUGACACUUAAGUAACCCACAGGCUGUCACAUAUCAGACUGACACACAAUUGGUUCUUGGAGGGGCUGAAUAAAGAGUCAGGAGGCAUAUCUA